GAGGCAUCACUCGCCCUCGGCCGGAGUUCGCGCCGCGGCGGAGGCCGGAGAGCCCUCGAGUGACGUAAUAGUGUCAGGAGCAGCCCAUGUGUGGACGGAUCUCUUCAUCAUGCUCGUGAAAGAAUUUCGGGUUGUCCUGCCACUCACGGUAGAAGAGUACCAAGUGGCUCAGCUGUACAGUGUAGCAGAAGCAAGCAAAAAUGAGACUGGCGGUGGAGAAGGAGUGGAGGUGCUUAAGAAUGAACCCUUCGACAACCACCCUCUACUCGGGGAUAGAUUUAGCAAGGGCCAAUACACGUAUAAAAUUUAUCACCUCAAAAGGUAAGUCUGUCGUGCCUUGCAAAA